AUGUGCAUAGUGUGGUUCAUUAUCUCAUCAUACUAGUGUGAAAUUUAUUGUGCUUUUCUCUUCAUAGAUGAACUGAUAUAGUGUAGCUGGACUUGUUGAUUGAGAGACCUUUUGUAAGCUGAAAAAAUGGUGGGCUGGCAACGGCAUCUUCAGUGCAUGCUUCAUCAAGCUGGGAAGAGAUGUCAACAAAGUCGAACUGUUCCUUUGAAUUCAUUUUAUCACUCAAAGUCAUCUCUAGUACUUGGUGAGGCACCUUACUUACCAAGCUUGCGGAAUACAGUUUCAUCUGGCAUCUCAAGGCCGUUAUACCAGUAUCUACAGCAUUUGGGGAUCUCUAGUUCAAGGACCUAACAUGCAGACUCAACCACACCAAUUUCUUCUCCAUUAACACCGCUUCUAACAUCAAAUACUGGAAAUAAAGAAGCUGAGAAAGCAACUUCUAAACCUUCAACAGUUCAAGCAGUUUUGAAGGGGAUAAAACAGAGCCCAAAGAAGAUCAAUUUGGUUGCAGCAUUAGUUCGUGGGAUGCCUGUGUUGA